CCAUCAACCUCACGUACCAUGUCCUCAGAAUGACAAAAACGGCAACAACUUUUUCUGUAAUGCCUUCUUUGAGCUGUUAACAUCAGGGUUUCAGGGCAGUAUCUUCAUACUGUCAAAAGUGACAUUAGUAAAAAAAAAAACGCCGAUUUCACUCGAUAUAGCAUUCAUUUGCAUGAAUUCUGAAACUGGCCCAGUUUUGAAAGUGUUUCUGAAUUCAAUGCAUGGAAGGGCCAAAAUAACCAAAACUCUAGGCAGGGUAGAAUGCACAGAUAUAUUACAAAAAUGUCUAGUGGUUGCUAAGAGAUACUCCCUCUAUGUCAAAAUAUAAGACCUUUUUUGACAACAAAAAAACGUCUCAAUGCUCGUUGCCAAAUGAGAUGAAAUUGCUCCUGGUUGAAUAUUCAAACAAAGGGGGCAUGUUACAGACGACACACGCCAUUCCUUUAUACUCCCUCUGUCCAAAAAUACUUGUCGGAGAAAUGAAUGUAUCUAGACAUAUUUUAGUUUUAGAUAUAUUCAUUUUUAUCCAUUUUUCUGACAAGUAUUUUCGGACGGAGGGAGUACUAUUCUGGAAAAUAUAAACAAGCAAAGUAUGUGUUCACCAGUUACUCUAUAGCUACAAAUGUGGACGUAUUUCUUUCGGCCCCUCCCUCUCAGCCACCAUCUACACCAUUUCUCCAUCGCUACCCCUAUCCUCACCUGCAUAAUAAAGGAUAUAAAAAUACUUCUGAAUAUGUGCAUUUUGUUAUUUGGAUAAAGGCCAGAAAAUGUGUACAGUGUACAUGCCAACAGCAGGUUAACCUACAUACCUUAGAGAUUUGUUUUGAAAACAAAUCUACUACAGACCUGUCCCUCUCCAGAUAGAAGUAAAUUCAAAGGCAAUAUAUCUGCUCUGUAAUGACAUGUCACAUGAAAAAAAGUUAGGUUAGAAAAUAAGUAACAACAUUACGGUACAGGAUUCCUGAAUCUUUAUCUUUAUCUUUACCUCUUUACCUAAUAAUAAAGAGAAUUGGGUUUAUGUCGUACGUCGGCGGCGUUUUUACAGAAAAGUCCCUUUGUUUGUUGGUAAUUAACCCGCAGUCACGUGCAUAAGUGAAAAUAACGGUUCGUCGGGGAAAAAAAGGAGUCACCCGCAUCCACCCGCACCCGCUCGCAUCGCCCUCCUCUCCCUCC
rnacentral:lncRNA from 1 species